GUAGUUAAGAGCUCACUACAUCAAAAGGGGGAGCUUUCACCAAUAUGAAAAAAGGAACUCCAGUUUUACCCUCAAAGUUCAACUACCACAAAAGCCCAACACAAAACCAGAAAUAACCUCCUCUCGGUAAUCAAGUGUUUUUAAGAGGUGUUGGAAAGAAACCAGCAUAUACAUUUUCAGAGCUUCAUAAUCAUUAACUAUUCUCCACCAUCCCAGAAAAUGUGAACUUGGAUGAGCUCCAAGCAUCUUAGCAACAAGCCAACAGCUCCCAACCAGAGCCCUCAGCCUUCUGAUGGGGCCAGAAUCCCAGAGACAAAGCAUUAUUUAUCGACAUAAACUGUCUUGCUUCUGAAGCUGGAAUCCCAAGAACCAAGCUAAUGAGAAGACUCCGUGCCAGGGUGUCAUAUUGAGUUAAGAAGGCCAACCCAGUCACAGUCCAUUUCUCUGCGCUCAGCCCAGACCAGAGGAAACACAGGGCAAACAUAUACAGCAGCUUCUGAAAGGCCCCAACACUUGAUGCUCGAACACCAAGACAAUCGCUGUCUUCAGCUGGGAGCGUGGGAAAGGGCACAGAACAUGGAAUGUUUUCUGAACGGAUGGGCAGGGCCCUUCAUGGAGUAGCAGAAGCUACCAGCUGCAGGCCUUGGCAGCGCGAUGCUCCCAAACUCCUGAGUAUGGCAGUCAGGGCUCUUGCUUGAUGAGCCUAAGGCCUAAGGCAACCGGACCAAGAGAUGGAACCAUUUCAUCACACCAGGGGGAAAGAAAUGGGUCAACAAUCUCUACCCUGUCUAUCUGGCUGGAAAGUGCAUCGGGAAACCUCUACAAAGAUAAAUGUGAGCCUUUGAACAUGCCUGCUACCACCAGACCCCGUCGUGGGUUCUGUUCACCUCUGCCCUGUGGCUAGAAUUGGUCAUGGCCACAGCAGGGGUCUUAGCAGCUGUCCAAGACCCCCUGCAAACAACUGCCCACUGCUUACAGUCUGGUGGUAUGGCCACAUAAACAGAAUCUGAAUUCUCAGCCCAGAGCUUGGCAAUCCAAGGUGAGUGCUAUUUGAAUUGCAGUAACCUUCUUGUUUUUUCACUAAGAAACUUAGUGUCCAAUGCCAAAAUGUUGGUCAGUUGUGUUCAAGUUUGGUGUAACAGAGCACGAACCAUAGUCAUAGGCAACUCUCAACUGUAAUGCCACCCCCCAAACCACAAGAAAGGAGUCAGGCCCACCGAGGUUUUGCCCCAGAAAGGAGGUGGGUUUCACACUAUGAUGUGGAACAGGCCACUCUCAUCGGCACUUACAAUGGUUCUUUCUUUGUGUCAAUUUGGUUGGGUUAUGGUACCCAGCUGUCUGGUCAAUCACUAGUCUAGAUUUUGCUGUGAUGGUAUUUUGCAGAUGUGACAAACAUUUACAAUCAGUGGACUUUAAGCAGAAUAUCCUCAAUAAUGUAGGUGAGAUUCAUCCAAUCAAUUUUUUUUUUGUCACUUGACAAAAUUUUAUUAGGGGCAUGGAACUCUGCACAUAGCAGAGUUGAAGGAUAUUAAAUAAACAAAACUGGCCAGAGGGGAGGAUUCUUAAAGAUGGUAGAAGAGGCAGUUAGAACCAGAAUUUGGACUCAAUUACAUGUAUAAUGAGGUCCCACUAAAAGACAAGGAAAUUGAUAAUUAAUGUAGGGUUUUCUGGAAAUUAAUAUGACUGAUAGGGUGGAAUAAUACACAAAAUGGAAGGACUUAGACGAGGGUCUUUGUAAAUAUUUUAGGAGUUUCAUCCAAUCAAUUGAAGGCCUUAAAAACAAAAACUAAAAUUUCCCGGGGAA
ensembl:lncRNA